AUUAAACCGUCGAUAGAAAAAGUAAUCAGAACUCAAAUGGAAAGAGAGAGAAUGUCAUUGGCUGAAAGCAUUCUUGCAUAUUGGACUGAUGAAAGACAUUCUGGAGGAUUUAUAUCGAAAUCAAAGUAGAUAUAAACGUUUUGCAGGCGUUAACUGUGAAGAGCGGAUGCAAUUUGCAUCAACUAGGGUGGCAACGCGGGUUAACUCUCGUCCCUUAU
rnacentral:ncRNA from 1 species